rnacentral:rRNA from 1 species
UACGUAGGCAGCGAGCGUUGUUCGGAGUUACUGGGCGUAAAGGGUGUGUAGGCGGUUGUUUAAGUUUGGUGUGAAAUCUCCCGGCUCAACUGGGAGGGUGCGCCGAAUACUGAAUGACUUGGAGUGCGGGAGAGGAGAGUGGAAUUCCUGGUGUAGCGGUGAAAUGCGUAGAUAUCAGGAGGAACACCGGUGGUGUAGACGGCUUUCUGGACCGUAACUGACGCUGAGACACGAAAGCGUGGGUAGCAAACAGG